rnacentral:lncRNA from 1 species
CAGCUGUAGUAAUUAUAGACUAUUCAGUUUAUCUUGGAUACCUGGGAAGAUACAAGAGCAAAUCAUCAAACAAUCAAUUUGCAACCACCUAGAAGAGUACAAGCUACUGGGUCGUAAUCAACGUGAUUUUGUGAAGUGCAAAUUAUGCCACACCAAUUUAAUUUUAUCUAUGAUAGAGUGAUGAGCCUGGCAGAAGAGGGGAAAGCAAUAUCUACAACUGGACUUCAAUAAGGAAUAUUGAUCUC